rnacentral:rRNA from 1 species
UACGUAGGUGGCAAGCGUUGUCCGGAAUUAUUGGGCGUAAAGCGCGCGCAGGUGGUUUCUUAAGUCUGAUGUGAAAGCCCACGGCUCAACCGUGGAGGGUCAUUGGAAACUGGGGAACUUGAGUGCAGGAGAGAAGAGUGGAAUUCCACGUGUAGCGGUGAAAUGCGUAGAGAUGUGGAGACACCAGUGGCGAAGGCGACUCUUUGGCCUGUAACUGACACUGAGGCGCGAAAGCGUGGGGAGCAAACAGG